UAUCCUGUCCUGUCCUGUCCUGUCCUGUCCUGUCCUGUCCUGUCCUUUCCUAUCCUAUCCUAUCCUAUACCGUCCUGUCCUGUCCAGUCCUAUCUUACCCUACUCAUUCCUGCUCAGACUUAUCCUAGCCUAUCCUAUCCUGUCCUAUGCUAUCCUAUUCCAAUUCAUCAUAUCCUACCUUUUCCUGAUUUAUUCUAUCUUGUCCUAACCUGUCCUAUAAUAUCCAACCCUGACCUAUCCUGGUCUAUCCUAUCUUGGCCUGACUUAUCUUAUCCAUUGCCAUGCGAAGAGAGCUGUAUCCUUUUCUUCAUUCCAGUCUUUAAGCCUGAAUCUUUGCCCCUUGACUUAGGACCAAAAUCAUCUGGCACCAAAUAUGUAAUUUCCUCCAUUCAGUGACUCACACAGUAACUCACAGAGAAUCCAUCUCCAUUUAUAUGUCAUUGUUCUCUCUGUAAUUUUGAAAUACUUUCAUCCCAGUGUCUGCUAUGUAUGCAUGUGAUAUUUGUGAGGUGCAUAUGUGAUUUGUGUAUGUGUGUGUGCGUUGGAGAGGUCAUCCACAUCUCUCUUCUACAUGGCUCUUAGCGCGGACCCUUUGAUGUGCUUUUAGAAUGGCCACACAGCUCUCUGCUUUACCUCUCGCUUGACAAUUGUUUAUUAGUUUUGAAACAGCUUUAGUGGACAUCAGGCUCUCUGAGAUUGCGCAUUUGAGGAGAGGACAACUCACUAUUCAACCAACCCCUCCUCCCCAAGAGCUGGACCCAGGACAGUGAGUCACAAAGACCUUUGAAGGGUAAAGGGAGACUCUGGCCUGCUGGGGUAGGGAGUUUGAAGGAUGGAGGAAUGGGUAGGAUGAAUGUUACAUUUUGAGUGAGAGAAAGUUUGAGAUGGUCGCAGAAGAAAGUGUAGGAGAGGAAAAAGACAAGUGAGAAGACCACCCUGGUGUUUAAGAGCUCAUUGUGUGAGAUUUAUAGCAGUGGUUACUGGUUGUGAGAGGUCUUUGAGAGUCCUGUGGAAGUGCUAAGAGAGUGCUGUAUAAACGCCUCAAGAGGAUUAGGAAACUGUCAUUUAUGCGAAGGGACAGCAUGACAAAUCGGUUUUUAAAAAACUCGACAACUUUGUGAGAGUGCCUUGAAGACAAUGUAAACAUUGCACAAAAAAUCUAAAUAAUCCAUCUUAAACUGUAGCUGUGUUUUGUAGUUUCUUGUUGGUCAUUUUUAAAACUUAUUUUACAGUGAAAAAUAUCUAAAAAAUCUUUAUGAUUAUUAUACUGUUAUAUUCUAAUUUAUUUACAUUCAAACUUACACCUUCAAGGUACAUAAUAUGAAAACCUCUCAAUAUACUGAUUUUGGGAUAUUUUAGAAAUUUUAGAAAUCUAACAAAUCUAAUAAAUUAGUUGUUGUGUAUUUCUUUCUUUUUUUCUUUUCUUUGCAUGAUAUUUUGUUCACACUGGUGUUUUUGAGUAACCUGGAACUUACUAGAGGGAGAUUAUUUGUAAGAAAAAAAUUAUUUUUUUUCUAUAUAUAUAUUUUUGCAUACAUUACGUUCUAACCACACUUUUAUCCCCAUGACUAAUAUAGUCCUUAUGUUAAAAAGAACAGUACAAUGCUAUUAUUAAUCAAGAAGUCACUUGAACUUGCUGUGGCUAAAAUUAUUACUGUGAGUGCUUUUUUUGUCUCUGUUUUUCUGAAAUCAGGAAAUCAGUGCAUGUCUGCAUUGCAGCUGCUUCCUCCAGUGACUGUCAUAAAACACGUACAUGUACUUGUGAACAUUUUAUGACAAUUUGAAUCAGUUGAUAUCAGUCACUUAUAUUUUACCAAGAAGUCUCAUCAAGGUUUUUAAACAUUCCGUCCAAAGGAAGACCUGGACGUGGACCUGGACAUGAAAUGACCAAUGCAGACUUUAUUGACGACUGUUAUGUUUCAGUGUCCUCAUUGAAGAAGGUUUAUUUUUCCAGAAGAUUUUUGGACAGUGUUUUGUUUCUUUUUAAGCUCUAUUGAACAGUAUUUCAAGGGAAUUCACUGAGCUAAUAUGAUGGAUCAGUCUGCCCCUAGAUAAACAGUGCUCUAUAUUGAUUUUAGAUUAAUAAUCCAUACACAGCACUAGUUUUUCACUUAAUUUUUCACAUCUCUUUCUCAGGAGUCGAAGAGUUACUGAGAGUUCAGUCCAUCUGUCUUCUCUCAAAUAAAGAGAGACUCCCUGCAAAUAUGUCUAAUCUUCCUUACCUCUCUUUCAUAACCAUCACUUUUCCCUCUCUCUGUGGGACAUGAUACGUUCGCUCCGUCAACUUGAGGCUUAUCGCUGUGUAUAAAGGGGUUCUGUGUUCUGUCAUAGAGGCAGGAGGCCAUAAACACAUAUGAGCUUCUCCCUCACUGUCAAGGAUUUCUGAGUUGUAAUUGGCUGAGAGCUGCACUGUCAGCUGAUUGGCCGGGCUGAGGAUGAAUGGCCACGCUGACAACCAAUGGGGCCAGAUGAGGGUGAGCCGGGUGAGAUAUGGGACACCGCAUUCUUGAGCGCUAAUCAAAUCUUAGAAAAUUUCAAUGAUGGUGAGUGAAUCAGUUUGUAUCAAGAGUUCAUAUGCAGGUGGAACCAAAGACAGGCCUCAAAAGAUUCAAACACAUCUUGCAGCAAGCUAAUAAAGUUUAUACUGAAGAGGUUCUGGGAUCAAAGGUCACCUACUGCCCUCUACUCAGCCUCCCCUCACCACUCCAUCUAGCGCUCCAACAGGAGUGCUGAAAAUAACCUGUGAUGGAUGCAAAUCUGAACAUUUCCCUCAUUCCCUCCUCCUUUCUUAGUCUACCUUUCUCUGCUCAUCAGACCAUCUCUCGUCAUCCCUAAUAGUCCAGAUGAAGAUGGAUAUGGACAGUCAGUUAUUUAUGGAUUAGGGGCGGAGCUCUGAACCUCUCUUGCCAUUUUUUAAUGUCCUGAAAAGCUUUUGGGCAUGUUUCACAUUACCAUUAUUAUUUUCUUUUUUUCUUUUUCUU